rnacentral:rRNA from 1 species
GACGAACGCUGGCGGCGUGCCUAAUACAUGCAAGUCGAGCGAAUGAAUGGGAGCUUGCUCCUGUUCGUUAGCGGCGGACGGGUGAGUAACACGUGGGCAACCUGCCUGUAAGACUGGGAUAACUUCGGGAAACCGGAGCUAAUACCGGAUAGUUUCUUUCUUCACAUGAAGAAGGAUGGAAAGACGGUUUUGCUGUCACUUACAGAUGGGCCCGCGGCGCAUUAGCUAGUUGGUGAGGUAAUGGAUCACCAAGGCGACGAUGCGUAGCCGACCUGAGAGGGUGAUCGGCCACACUGGGACUGAGACACGGCCCAGACUCCUACGGGAGGCAGCAGUAGGGAAUCUUCCGCAAUGGACGAAAGUCUGACGGAGCAACGCCGCGUGAGUGAAGAAGGUUUUCGGAUCGUAAAACUCUGUUGUCAGGGAAGAACAAGUACCAGAGUAACUGCUGGUACCUUGACGGUACCUGACCAGAAAGCCACGGCUAACUACGUGCCAGCCGCCGCCGUAAGAC